GAUUACAGCCAUACGACCCUUAAUACCCCUGAUCUUUGAAGCUAUGCAGGGUCGGGCCUUGUUAGUACCUAGAUGGGAGACCGUUUGGAAAUAUUUGGAGCUGUAACCU
rnacentral:rRNA from 1 species